rnacentral:rRNA from 1 species
AGUCGAAAAUGUUGUCUCUCUUGAGUGGAUCCUGAGUACGACGGAGCACGUGAAAUUCCGUCGGAAUCUGGGAGGACCAUCUCCUAAGGCUAAAUACUCUCUAGUGACCGAUAGUGAACCAGUACCGUGAGGGAAAGGUGAAAAGCACCCCGGAAGGGGAGUGAAAUAGAACCUGAAACCGUGUGCUUACAAGUAGUCAGAGCCCGUUAAUGGGUGAUGGCGUGCCUUUUGUAGAAUGAACCGGCGAGUUACGAUUUGAUGCAAGGUUAAGCAGUAAAUGUGGAGCCGUAGCGAAAGCGAGUCUGAAUAGGGCGUUUAGUAUUUGGUCGUAGACCCGAAACCAGGUGAUCUACCCUUGGUCAGGUUGAAGUUCAGGUAACACUGAAUGGAGGACCGAACCGACUUACGUUGAAAAGUGAGCGGAUGAACUGAGGGUAGCGGAGAAAUUCCAAUCGAACCUGGAGAUAGCUGGUUCUCUCCGAAAUAGCUUUAGGGCUAGCCUCAAGUGAUGAUUAUUGGAGGUAGAGCACUGUUUGGACGAGGGGCCCCUCUCGGGUUACCGAAUUCAGACAAACUCCGAAUGCCAAUUAAUUUAACUUGGGAGUCAGAACAUGGGUGAUAAGGUCCGUGUUCGAAAGGGAAACAGCCCAGACCACCAGCUAAGGUCCCAAAAUAUAUGUUAAGUGGAAAAGGAUGUGGCGUUGCCCAGACAACUAGGAUGUUGGCUUAGAAGCAGCCAUCAUUUAAAGAGUGCGUAAUAGCUCACUAGUCGAGUGACACUGCGCCGAAAAUGUACCGGGGCUAAACAUAUUACCGAAGCUGUGGAUUGUCCUUUGGACAAUGGUAGGAGAGCGUUCUAAGGGCGUUGAAGCAUGAUCGUAAGGACAUGUGGAGCGCUUAGAAGUGAGAAUGCCGGUGUGAGUAGCGAAAGACGGGUGAGAAUCCCGUCCACCGAUUGACUAAGGUUUCCAGAGGAAGGCUCGUCCGCUCUGGGUUAGUCGGGUCCUAAGCUGAGGCCGACAGGCGUAGGCGAUGGAUAACAGGUUGAUAUUCCUGUACCACCUAUAAUCGUUUUAAUCGAUGGGGGGACGCAGUAGGAUAGGCGAAGCGUGCGAUUGGAUUGCACGUCUAAGCAGUAAGGCUGAGUAUUAGGCAAAUCCGGUACUCGUUAAGGCUGAGCUGUGAUGGGGAGAAGACAUUGAGUCUUCGAGUCGUUGAUUUCACACUGCCGAGAAAAGCCUCUAGAUAGAAAAUAGGUGCCCGUACCGCAAACCGACACAGGUAGUCAAGAUGAGAAUUCUAAGGUGAGCGAGCGAACUCUCGUUAAGGAACUCGGCAAAAUGACCCCGUAACUUCGGGAGAAGGGGUGCUCUUUAGGGUUAACGCCCAGAAGAGCCGCAGUGAAUAGGCCCAAGCGACUGUUUAUCAAAAACACAGGUCUCUGCUAAACCGUAAGGUGAUGUAUAGGGGCUGACGCCUGCCCGGUGCUGGAAGGUUAAGAGGAGUGGUUAGCUUCUGCGAAGCUACGAAUCGAAGCCCCAGUAAACGGCGGCCGUAACUAUAACGGUCCUAAGGUAGCGAAAUUCCUUGUCGGGUAAGUUCCGACCCGCACGAAAGGCGUAACGAUUUGGGCACUGUCUCAACGAGAGACUCGGUGAAAUCAUAGUACCUGUGAAGAUGCAGGUUACCCGCGACAGGACGGAAAGACCCCGUGGAGCUUUACUGUAGCCUGAUAUUGAAAUUCGGCACAGCUUGUACAGGAUAGGUAGGAGCCUUUGAAACGUGAGCGCUAGCUUACGUGGAGGCGCUGGUGGGAUACUACCCUAGCUGUGUUGGCUUUCUAACCCGCACCACUUAUCGUGGUGGGAGACAGUGUCAAGCGGGCAGUUUGACUGGGGCGGUCGCCUCCUAAAAGGUAACGGAGGCGCUCAAAGGUUCCCUCAGAAUGGUUGGAAAUCAUUCAUAGAGUGUAAAGGCAUAAGGGAGCUUGACUGCGAGACCUACAAGUCGAGCAGGGUCGAAAGACGGACUUAGUGAUCCGGUGGUUCCGCAUGGAAGGGCCAUCGCUCAACGGAUAAAAGCUACCCCGGGGAUAACAGGCUUAUCUCCCCCAAGAGUUCACAUCGACGGGGAGGUUUGGCACCUCGAUGUCGGCUCAUCGCAUCCUGGGGCUGUAGUCGGUCCCAAGGGUUGGGCUGUUCGCCCAUUAAAGCGGUACGCGAGCUGGGUUCAGAACGUCGUGAGACAGUUCGGUCCCUAUCCGUCGUGGGCGUAGGAAAUUUGAGAGGAGCUGUCCUUAGUACGAGAGGACCGGGAUGGACAUACCUCUGGUGUACCAGUUGUCGUGCCAACGGCAUAGCUGGGUAGCUAUGUGUGGACGGGAUAAGUGCUGAAAGCAUCUAAGCAUGAAGCCCCCCUCAAGAUGAGAUUUCCCAACUUCGGUUAUAAGAUCCCUCAAAGAUGAUGAGGUUAAUAGGUUCGAGGUGGAAGCAUGGUGACAUGUGGAGCUGACGAAUACUAAUCGAUCGAAGACUUAAUCAA